rnacentral:rRNA from 1 species
GACGAACGCUGGCGGCGUGCUUAACACAUGCAAGUCGAACGGAAAGACCCUGCUUUUGUGGGGUGCUCGAGUGGCGAACGGGUGAGUAACACGUGAGUAACCUGCCCUUGACUUUGGGGUAACUUCAGGAAACUGGGGCUAAUACCGGAUAGGAGCUCCUGCUGCAUGGUGGGGGUUGGAAAGUUUCGGCGGUUGGGGAUGGACUCGCGGCUUAUCAGCUUGUUGGUGGGGUAGUGGCUUACCAAGGCUUUGACGGGUAGCCGGCCUGAGAGGGUGACCGGCCACAUUGGGACUGAGAUACGGCCCAGACUCCUACGGGAGGCAGCAGUGGGGAAUAUUGCACAAUGGGCGGAAGCCUGAUGCAGCAACGCCGCGUGCGGGAUGACGGCCUUCGGGUUGUAAACCGCUUUCGCCUGUGACGAAGCGUGAGUGACGGUAAUGGGUAAAGAAGCACCGGCUAACUACGUG